rnacentral:lncRNA from 1 species
CUUGCUACGCCUUGUGACUAAAUAAUAGACAUGAGGGUGUGCAUCUUCUUUUUUUCUUUCCUGUCUAAUACUUAUUUUGUUGUUGGCAACAUAGGUGGUGUGGUGUAUGUGUGUUUAUGUGGGCAUACAUGGUGUUGAUGCUUGUGUGUGUAUGUAGUUGCUUUGAGUAGAGUUGUGUGGGUUGUUUUAUGUUAGUAGGAAUGCAAGUCUAGCUUGAUUAUGUGUGCUGACCAUAUU